GGGGAAUUUUGGACAAUGGGGGCAACCCUGAUCCAGCCAUGCCGCGUGCGGGAAGAAGGCCUUCGGGUUGUAAACCGCUUUUGUCAGGGAAGAAAUUUUCCGGGCUAACACCUCGGGAGGAUGACGGUACCUGGAGAAUAAGCACCGGCUAACUACGUGCCAGCAGCCGCGGUAA
rnacentral:rRNA from 1 species